GCCAUUUGGAAAAUCCUGCUGUUACGAG
rnacentral:piRNA from 1 species